UUCCAGGAUUAUUUUCGUAAUUUCAUCAAUAAAGACAAAUUGGUAUCUUAAAUUUCAGUUGUUGCAUGUAGACAACAGGUGUCUUUUCAUUUUUCCUCUGUAACUCUACAAAGACAACAAAUGUCUUUCCAUUUUUCCUUUUUGAUGAAACUUUAUUGCUUUCCGUUGAAGAAUUGUCAAAAUCAUAUUGUUGUCCUCUCAUGAUUUUCCUCUACGCCUCAGAUCUUCGAUCAAAUAUUCAUAAGGAAGCAGAGAUCAUCAUAAUGGACCAGAAAAUUCUCGUGGAUGCCAUCACAACUGAAACUGCAGAUUGGACCUGUAAGGUACAGGUAGUAGACAAGUUCCGUCCUCGCAAAAGUAGCGACUCAUCCGUACAUUUUCAGACAAUAAUUGUGCAGGACGAAAAGGUAAGUUUGUCCCUACAAUAAUUGUGUAGGACGAAAAGGUAAGUUUGUCCCUACCUCUACUGUCCAUGAAAAAUAGAGUUCAUACCGUAAACAUUAUUAUCUAUGGUAAUGCUAUUAACUACACGACAUUUUUUACUGCUGCAAAGGCAAUAACUUUGAAGACUUAACAAAUUAAGAAAAGUUCAAAUCUAGCCUCAUGAAAAAAACAACUGACAUUUCCAAUAACUUCUUCUAUAAAUUGUAUUUGCACAUCUAAAACAGGUUCUCUUUUACGGGACUACAAGAACAACAGGUUUCUACAGUACUCUACGGCGAUGACACUCCUAAGUACGAGAAGUUGUUUGUCCUUUUUGAGACAUAUUUGGUUUUCUGUACAAAAGUUAGGGACCACUGAGGAUACUCAAUACGAGCCGGUACGUAUGAGUGGGUGGUUGACAGAUAUACAAUCGUUGAGGCGAUUAACACUAACGACGGAUUGGAAGCACCCCUUCCCGCUCCAACAAAAUUGAAUGCAUUGUCUUUCUCAGCUAUUGAAUAUCAACGUCCGGGUGUUAAAUUUGCUAUAGUAGCUAAUUGCAGCGCUAUUCAAUAUACAGCUGAUUAAAGUAAGCAUUUUCGGGAAGCGAUCGUCAUGGAUCAGAGCAAGAAACCUUUUCUAUUUACUAUAUGGGGCGAUCUGGUUGACAACGAAGAGGCCAAACUAUUACAUCACCUGCAUGAGCAUCCCAUCAUUCUAGUGAAGCGUAUAUGUGUUACUGAGUUCCGCAGUGGUGUCACUUCCAAGUUGAUAUUACGAAUGCCAGUGAUACAAUUACAGUAACAAUCUCAGAAACGCUGGCAGAGAAAAUGUUGUCCCUAACUUCAGAACAAAUAUAUGAAACUGUCGUUGUCCAGGUACACACAUACAUAUCACUAACAACACGGAAAACUUAUAGCCUUACAAUUUUGUUCUUUUCAGCAAGUAAAAUACUGCAUUACAUAAAAGUUCACUUAAUCUGGUCUUUCUGCCUUUUCAAUUAGCAACAACCAUUAUCUAUUACCCGUAUAAAUGAGCACCUCGCUCAUAAACUAUUUUAGCUACAGCUACAAAAGCCAGUCUUCAGAUUUUUCGAUCAAAAAUCUGGCAUGCUAGCUAUCAUCGCCUUCACUAAAGCCGUACCUGCAGAUUUGGGGGACACAAGUAAGAGGCAGAAAAUAGAACCAUCCACGCCCGCAAUAAAACAUUAAAGGUAACAACACUUCCACAAUUCGAUUUGCUACUAUACUUAGCAUUCACUGCAAUACUCCAAAAUAUUCUACUCAACUGAAUUUUAUUUCAAACAUAUGCCUGCAACAUCUCAAUCUCAGCAGGUAAAUAUAAUCUUCAUAGUUGCUUUUGUUAUAUCUAUCUACUCAAUGCAGUCAGGUACAUAGAAUGAUCUCACUCGCAGUCAAGCUCGAUCAAGUGGUGUGGCAUGUACAACUACAUUUUGGUUGCUUCUGCCAACUCCAUCGCACGGUAUAAGCAUGUACAAAGAAUUUUUGCUUGCCUACACCAUCAGUGCUUGCACGGGCUUUCACAUCUAGUUAAAAUAAGAAAGUAUGGUAUCUUUUUUUUUAGACUGGACUAAAAAGAACAUGACACAUAAAUUGGGACAGGCAAAAAGGAAAAAGUACUACUAAUAAAAUUUUGUAAGGAAAGUUUCAAACUUUUUCAUAGCACAUGGGUUUUGAGCUUAGUGAUUUUUAACUCAAGACUGGUUUAGUCCGUGGUGCGGAGCCAUCUUAUAUUAAGGGGUAUCAAUGGACAUUUUUUCCUCAAAAAAUGAUACGUA